rnacentral:rRNA from 1 species
ACAUGCAAGUCGAGGGGCAGCAUGGUCUUAGCUUGCUAAGGCCGAUGGCGACCGGCGCACGGGUGAGUAACACGUAUCCAACCUGCCGUCUACUCUUGGACAGCCUUCUGAAAGGAAGAUUAAUACAAGAUGGCAUCAUGAGUCCGCAUGUUCACAUGAUUAAAGGUAUUCCGGUAGACGAUGGGGAUGCGUUCCAUUAGAUAGUAGGCGGGGUAACGGCCCACCUAGUCUUCGAUGGAUAGGGGUUCUGAGAGGAAGGUCCCCCACAUUGGAACUGAGACACGGUCCAAACUCCUACGGGAGGCAGCAGUGAGGAAUAUUGGUCAAUGGGCGCAGGCCUGAACCAGCCAAGUAGCGUGAAGGAUGACUGCCCUAUGGGUUGUAAACUUCUUUUAUAAAGGAAUAAAGUCGGGUAUGUAUACCCGUUUGCAUGUACUUUAUGAAUAAGGAUCGGCUAACUCCGUGCCAGCAGCCGCGGUAAUACGGAGGAUCCGAGCGUUAUCCGGAUUUAUUGGGUUUAAAGGGAGCGUAGAUGGAUGUUUAAGUCAGUUGUGAAAGUUUGCGGCUCAACCGUAAAAUUGCAGUUGAUACUGGAUAUCUUGAGUGCAGUUGAGGCAGGCGGAAUUCGUGGUGUAGCGGUGAAAUGCUUAGAUAUCACGAAGAACUCCGAUUGCGAAG